rnacentral:lncRNA from 1 species
UUGGGGAGGAACCCCAGCCUCCAAAAACAGCCCCUCAGACCUUUCUGUGUCUUCGUGAGGUGACGGUGAUGAACACCGAGGUGCUAUAAAGAACAUCUACCUCUCAGAUCUUGUGUGGUGGCUGAAGGGUGAUGGUGUACUGCAAUAGAAUAGGGCUGUCAGCAGGGUUUGCUGAGACUAAGGAAUGAACACAGCAUUAAGCACCUGAAGCCAAGUCACUGCUUGGGAUAUCUGGCCCCCACACAACCUGGAAUCCCAGGGAUCCCAAGCUGUCAUCAAGGUCCUACAAAGCUACUCUUUGUGAUAAUGCAGAUCACAGACCAGAGGUCCAGACAGCGACAUGGAUUUGCUAGCUAUGAGUAUUUCAAGGGAGCCGGGCCUGUCAAAGGGUGAGAUAAGCGAGGAGCUUUCUUUAAAGUAUAAUCCCAACGGAUCAUGCGAAUUAAUCUAAGAAUAGAAGAAUCUGGUAAGGAGAUGAUUCAGAAGAGAGUUGGCAACCUUUGCAGGGUUAUCAGGAGGCAGAUGACUCUAUUAACAUCUCUCUUUUGUUUGCUGGAGGUAUUCACUCAGCUGCCACGUGAUAUUCGGAGGCCCACGUCGUCUGAACUGCCUUUUCCCAGCCAAUAAAACCAGUGACCUUAUCACAGUGACAGAAGCAUGCAGGUGGAAUGAAGAGGUAUGUUGGCUUGUAUCUGCUUGCCUCAAGUGAGUGGGCUGGCUUUCCUUCCUUGUCAUCAUUUUCCAGAAUAGCUCUGAAAACAGGAGAAAUAUUUACUUGUUAUGUGCAGGUCAUCCAAUCUCUCACACCACUUCACAUGCCGCUGGGAUACUGUUAGAAAGUCACUCUCUUUCUUGGUUCAGCAGUUUGCUGAAUUUGAGUUCUUGGCACCUUAAGA